AAAACUUUAGUUUAUUUUAAAAUAUUACUUUUGCUAAGUAAAGAAAAAAAUUUUUUUAAGUUUUA
rnacentral:tRNA from 1 species